UACGGAGGGGGCUAGCGUUGUUCGGAAUUACUGGGCGUAAAGCGCGCGUAGGCGGCUUUGUAAGUUAGAGGUGAAAGCCCGAAGCUCAACUUCGGAAUUGCCUUUAAGACUGCAUCGCUAGAAUCAUGGAGAGGUGAGUGGAAUUCCGAGUGUAGAGGUGAAAUUCGUAGAUAUUCGGAAGAACACCAGUGGCGAAGGCGGCUCACUGGACUGGUAUUGACGCUGAGGUGCGAAAGCGUGGGGAGCAAACAGG
rnacentral:rRNA from 1 species